CUCACCACUCACCAGUUACCACUCUCACCUUCUCAAACAGUUACUGAGCUACACUUCUCCCCUCAAACAGUCGUCGUCUUCGCUAAUCUGGAUGCCGUCACCAUCGUCUUCUAGACUCGCAACCGUCAUCGUCGUCUUCUCCAGUUUCGACGCCGUCGCCGUUGUCUUCUGGACUCAACAUUUCGCGGUGGUUUCUCUCGCUUCUACAGCGACAAAGGUAAGGUUCUCAGCGAAGAGGAGUAGGCCAAAGAGAACGUCUACAUCAAGAAACGAGAGAGAGAGAGAGAGGUUGGAGAAACAGAAGCAGCAAGCUGGGAAGGAAAAGGCAAAGAUGGACAAAAAACGCUUCUGACAAGGUGCCAAUCGGUACUACUACAUGUGUUUGAAUGAUUUGCUUGCAGGGGUUGGUAAUGCUGGUGUUGGUGUUCUUGAUGCUAUCUGUAUGGAAUCAAAGUGGAAGCUGUACUUGGGAAACAGUACAAUCAUGUAUCCAGGUGACUUAAUAGAAAUGAUAGUCUUUAUUGUGCAUGGAAAACUGGAGAUCAAGGACAGCAGUGGAACAAGCGGCCACAUAUCUGAUGGGGAUGCAUGUUGCCAAGGACUCCUUUUCUGGUAUCUUCAGAGAGCUUUAUCGAAUAGUAACACAGAUGGUGACAAAUUAUUUUUUCCUGAAGAAAGAUUUCUGAGCACCAAGAGCAUAACUUGUUUAACAGAUGUGGAGGUAUUUGUAGUUGAAGUCACUGACCUUGAAAAGAUCCUAACUCGGUUUACAAAAUUCUUGCACACUCCACGUAUUGAAGAGGCCAUAAAAAGGCACAAAAUGCUUGAAAGGCUGCAUGAAGAAUCAGGAAGCCACUUUGAUUAGAUAUCUUUUGGUUGCUUGUGUUGGUGUUCAAUGUUGGUAUUGCUGGUGAUGUUUCUAGUGUUAGCAUCAAAGGGUCAAAUGGUAAAUGGCUUACUAUGUCAAAAAAUUGGGGACAAAAUUGGUUAAUUGGAGUUAAUUUGGUUGGACAAAGUUUGUCUUUUAAGGUCACAACUAGUGAUCAGAAAACUUUGGUAUUUCAUGAUGUUGCUCCUUCUCAUUGGCAAUUUGGAUCAACUUAUGAGGGCAAGCUUAAUUUUUAGGAUUAUGUUGAUUUAGAAUCUCAAAUGGUUUAGUAAUGUCAUAUUUAGUUUCUAGUGACAAUGUUUCAUUGUUUUGUAUUUGAACUUGUACAAUUUAUGAAAUAAUUUUCUUUCGCAAAUAAAACAAUAAUAAGGAUUUAUUUAUCUUGUAUCUUAACUGUAUAUUUUAAUAGUUUAAACAUUUUUAAAAUAAUUGAAUGUUUGAAUCAGGGGUAUGUAUUGAUUUCGUAUCCACUUAUGCAUGGCAUAUCCUUAUUAUUCAUUUGUCUCCUUUCAAUUGUUACUUAUCUACUAAGAACUGUUGCAAGGGCAAGGUGCACAUGUAGCUAUUGCUUUUGAAGUUCCCGGUGGUUGGCAAAAAAAGAAAGACACUAUUGUUUUGACUGUUUUAUAGAUGCUUAUGGGAGGUGGUGGAUCCUUCUCAGCAGGGCCCCUGGAAAAGGGAUGCACUCAAGAUCUUCGUGUCUUGAACGAAUACCAACAGAUUCAAUCUUUUUCUGCAUUCAAUAGUAUCUUCAACAAUACAGGAUUGUUUGGCAUAUGUGCAAGAACUGUGAAGAUGCUGAAACUGAAAGAUGAACCGAGACUGAGGUGCUCUGCAUGAAACUCUACCACAUACAGAUGAUACAUGGCAUAGGGAAGAAGAUGAAGAGUGCAAUUGGCAGUGUUGUAGUGGCCAUUGUAAGAUAAAAUAUUUACAAGAAAAUUAUCUAAUAUAAAAGAAAGAUGAAGAGUGCAAUUGGCAAAGUGCUGCUUGGUCUAAGACUCUAAGUAGAUAUUGAAUAGAGCAUAGUUAUGUUCAUGAAUAUUUUUAUCAUGUUUUAGUCUAGACUGGGGAUCAUAAAUUUGAUGUAUUUAGAAAUUUUUAAUAUUUUAAAUUUAAUAUUUCUAUGUAGACAUUGUGAAUAUUUUGGUAUUUAUUUGAAAAAUUAAUCUAUGCUCGAUUUCUUUUA